UACGUAGGUGGCAAGCGUUACUCGGAAUCACUAGGCGUAAAGCGCAGGUAGGAGGUUGGAUAAGUCUAUUGUGAAAGCUCCCGGCUUAACUGGGAGAGGCCAAUGGAAACUAUCCGGCUAGAGUGCGGUAGAGGUAGCUGGAAUUCCCGGUGUAGCGGUGAAAUGCGCAGAUAUCAGGAGGAACACCGGUGGCGAAGGCGGGUCUCUGGGCCGAUACUGACGCUGAGGAGCGAAAGCCAGGGGAGCAAACGGG
rnacentral:rRNA from 1 species